rnacentral:rRNA from 1 species
UACGUAGGAGACGAGCGUUGUCCGGAGUUACUGGGCGUAAAGGGUGCGCAGGCGGUUUUGUAAGUCUGUCGUGAAAUCCCCGGGCUUAACCUGGGAAUGGCGAUGGAGACUGCAAGGCUGGAGUUUGGCAGAGGGGGGUAGAAUUCCACGUGUAGCAGUGAAAUGCGUAGAGAUGUGGAGGAACACCGAUGGCGAAGGCAGCCCCCUGGGUCAAGACUGACGCUCAUGCACGAAAGCGUGGGGAGCAAACAGG